rnacentral:rRNA from 1 species
GACUACACGGGUAUCUAAUCCCGUUCGCUACCCUAGCUUUCGCGCCUCAGCGUCAGAGAAGACCCAGUAAGCCGCUUUCGCCACCGGUGUUCCUGAUGAUAUCAACGCAUUUCACCGCUCCACCAUCAGUUCCGCUUACCCCUGUCUCCCUCCAGCACGGCAGUAUGAAGCGCAAUUCCUCGGUUGAGCCGAGGGCUUUCACACCUCACUUACCGCACCGCCUACGCACCCUUUAAGCCCAAUAAUUCCGAAUAACGUUUGUCCGGUUCGUGUUACCGCGGCUGCUGGCACGAACUUAGCCCGGACUUCCUCCUAGGAUAGAUCAAAACCGUCUCUUCAACGGUCCUUUCUCCCCUACGACAGCGGUUUACAACCCGAGGGCCUUCAUCCCGCACGCGGCAUCGCUCGGUCAGGCUUUCGCCCAUUGCCGAAGAUUCCCCACUGCAGCCGCCCGUAGG